UACGUAGGGUGCAAGCGUUAAUCGGAAUUACUGGGCGUAAAGCGUGCGCAGGCGGUUUUGUAAGUCUGUCGUGAAAUCCCCGGGCUUAACCUGGGAAUGGCGAUGGAGACUGCAAGGCUAGAGUUUGGCAGAGGGGGGGUAGAAUUCCACGUGUAGCAGUGAAAUGCGUAGAGAUGUGGAGGAACACCGAUGGCGAAGGCAGCCCCCUGGGUCAAGAUUGACGCUCAUGCACGAAAGCGUGGGGAGCAAACAGG
rnacentral:rRNA from 1 species